UACGUAGGGGGCAAGCGUUGUUCGGAAUUACUGGGCGUAAAGAGCGUGUAGGCGGCCAGGUAGGUCUGCUGUGAAAACUCGAGGCUCAACCUCGAGACGUCGGCGGAAACCAUCUGGCUAGAGUCCGGAAGAGGAGAGUGGAAUUCCUGGUGUAGCGGUGAAAUGCGCAGAUAUCAGGAAGAACACCCGUGGCGAAGGCGGCUCUCUGGGACGGUACUGACGCUGAGACGCGAAAGCGUGGGGAGCGAACAGG
rnacentral:rRNA from 1 species